GUGGACGCCAGUCUGCAUGGAGCCGACCUUGAAAUACCACCCUUUAAUGUUUGAUGUUCUAACGUGGACCCGUGAUCCGGGUUGCGGACAGUGUCUGGUGGGUAGUUUGACUGGGGCGGUCUCCUCCUAAAGAGUAACGGAGGAGCACGAAGGUUGGCUAAUCCUGGUCGGACAUCAGGAGGUUAGUGCAAUGGCAUAAGC
rnacentral:rRNA from 1 species